GCUGAGAUGGCCGAGUCGUUAAGGCGAGUGAUUUGAAUUGGGAUUUGAACCACUUAUCACUUGGUGUCCCACCGCGUAGGUUCAAAUCCUGCUCUCAGCG